rnacentral:rRNA from 1 species
UACGGAGGGUGCAAGCGUUAUCCGGAUUCACUGGGUUUAAAGGGUGCGUAGGUGGGUCUGUAAGUCAGUGGUGAAAUCUCCGAGCUUAACUCGGAAACUGCCAUUGAUACUAUAGGUCUUGAAUUAUCUGGAGGUGAGCGGAAUAUGUCAUGUAGCGGUGAAAUGCUUAGAUAUGAACAUAGAACACCAAUUGCGAAGGCAGCUCACUACGGAUAUAUUGACACUGAGGCACGAAAGCGUGGGGAUCAAACAGG